AGAAAGGUACUCUGUCAAAGAUAGGGUGGGAUCAAAUGGUAAAUACAAUCACAAUAUGGAAUUCAAGAAAAUAGAUAGUGAAGGUAGAAAGCCUGGUUCUUCUGACCUGGUUGAUGGAGGAAGAAGCUACCCUUCCAAUAAUUUGAAUUGUUGUGCUGGGGAAAAAGAUCGUGCUGUUUUUGAUGAUUCUCAUGAAGCUAGUGGGAAGAACCAUAUGGGGGAUGAUAGGUGGGGAGAGCAGGUUUUGGAUCCAUCAAACGAAAAUGGUUUAGAAAAUGGAUUGGAGUUUGACCGUUAUGAACCUUAUUACAGUGAUGACAAAAAGGAGCAGAAUGAACUUCACGAUGCAUCCUAUUUUUGUGGUUCACCCACUAGAACGAAGUCUCCAGAGAAAACAGGCUUUGGACAAAAUGAUCAUCAUAAAAUUUUGGAUCAUCUCAGCAAUUCAAAAUCUCGAAAAACAUGCUAUGCAUGUGGUAAAGUGGGUCAUGAAAUGCGGAAGUGCCCCUCACAGCUGGAGAGACCCAGAACAAGGCCUCAACUGCCGAGUCAAAGUAGUGAUGCUGCUCCAAUGAGGCAUCAGAAAAACGAUAGGGAGCCAUCGACUUCAAGAAAUAAUCGGAGAUUGCUUAGACGUGGAGGUUCUCCCUCAGCACAGCUUACUUCCAGACAUAGGAAACAAAAGUACAGGGAGAACAAUCGAAAUAAGACAGAUUGUGAAAGUCCAGAUAGACACCGUUCAAAGAAAGCAAGGGUUCUGUUGUCGUCUUCAACCCACUCUGAUUGUACUGCAUCCAGAUUGCAGUCACCUUCAAGAUCAAUAAGCUCAUUCUCUGGGUCUGUUUCCCAUUCCAAGUUCAAAUCAGCAUCAUCCAGAAAAAAUUCCCCGUCCGCUCAUUCGUGGUCUUCAACAUCAUACCAUUCUGGAUCUAAACCCUUCAUGUCGAGGUUGACAUCAAGCUCAAACUCUCCUACAUCUUUGGCUUUACCGGUAGCACUCGAUAGAUGUUUUUCUUCGUCACCAAAUAAAAUGCAAACAGAUUACAGGGGAGACGAAAAACUGGCUAUGCAAUUGCUAAGUGUUUACAGCUAACUUAGAUUAUAUUGAUUCUCAGGUUCAAAUGUGAAAAAAUAAAAAAUUGGCUGAAUGAAAUACAAAAGAGCAUAAAGUUUCACUAAUGUUUUAUUUCGGUUUUUCAUUUUUGGAUUUAGAAAUCACGUUUUAUUUGUUUCUCUUGAGAAUCAGUGACCGGUGGUCACCAUAAUUGAUUAUUUUUAGCCCUACUUUCUGUUUCUACCAUCUCAUUGUUUUAACUCUGCACGUUUUGCGAGAAACAUUAAUUAUUAUUAGAAAGGAAUUUUGGGUUGUGAAUUCAAACUAGUAGCAAUUUUAUAUUCAAACAUGAAUUCAUUUGUUUCUCAUAUCCAAAGCCUGAAUCGCACAUUCCUGUUUAUGCCCAUCCGAAAGUUGUCCUGUUAGAAGCCGGAAAAAUUCAGACAAAUUUCUUGGUCUAUUUAAUGGAAUAAAUACUGGCAAUUAGUAAUAUGCCAUGUUUAUAAAAUUUGUAGGUGAUAUUAGGAUGCUGAGGAAGUGUUUUACUUAAAUUUUUACUAUACGAGGAGUCCAGGACAAUUUUAUAAUGCAUUUUUAAGAAAGAAGUAAUAUCAGUAUAUCACUAUUGAAAAUUGAUAUGCAAGUAGUACAUAUCUUGUUACCGUGUAAGAAUUUUUCCUUGUACUUUUAAGAUUUAAAUGAAAUGUCAGGGAGUGGUGUUCAUUACCAAAGAGUCGGAUAAAUAUCCCUUUAAUAUCCAAGGAUGUUUCGUCAUGAUUCUAUUCAAUAAGAUGAUAGGAAACAGCUGACACUAUUAGAUUUUCUUGUGGAUGCAGGGAAACAAUCAACUUCUUUUAGCACUAAGAACUUGUAAGUGGGACCUGAAACGCCCAUUUCUUUGUACUCUGCAGUUUAUUAGCUGUUGCAUUAUUUGGAGUGGCAUUACUUGACUUUUCAGAUUAUAGUAAAGUGUUGCGCACCUUAUAUUAGAUAGAUAGUUUCUGGUCAGUACCAAAGUUUUCAAAAAUGUUCAGACACCUUGAAUGUGUGUUGUACAAGGUGUUCAUUAGGACCCUCAAAACUUCCACUUUGAGUUCCUUUUGUCAAGACUUACGCCUUAAUUUUAAAGUGCAUGGGGCACGCAUAGAGGUGGCUGAGGUUUUCUCCCCUUAAUCCUUUUUUUAAGUCAUGUUUUCCCAACACGUUUUGAGGGUUCCUCCAGAUUGUUUAAAUGCGCCUCAACUCUAAAAAUUAGAAACAAAAGAAUAGAAUAUUGGAGAAAAUUAGAAAAUAAUGAGUGAAGGGAAUGUGCUUAGCAUAGCUUUGUACUCCUACAACAGAAUACUAAAGAAGAGAACUUGCAACUCUUUGAUUGCUAGAGACCUCCAACAUGUAAUGUCACCCCACUUUAUUCUACUUUUUCUUAUUAUUGAUGUCUCUAUUGUGAUGUUUUCUUUCCUCUGGAAUUUCUUUCCUUUUAAGUCAAAGCAAAUGAAGUUCUCAAAUAACUGAUGCAUCUAUUUUUUUGGACUUUUAGCUCUAGUUGUAGAUUAAUGGUCUUAUAAUGUGAUUACUACUCUACUAAUUUGUUAUUGGCUGCUUUAUUAAUCCAUUUUAUGUUUCUAAUAGUAUGUUAGUCUUUUAGCUUUUCUAAACGGUAUUAAUAAUUAUAUUUUGAAAUUUUUAAUUUUUUAUUAUGUGUAAUUUUCUAUUUUUGUAGUUAUUUGAAAUUCUAUUGGUUUAUGUUGAGCUUUAUACUUCAAAGCAGCCGAGGUUCACCCUUUGCCUCAUGCAAAAACACCUCAAUACCACGUAUACAUGCAUGCACCUAUGUUUCUAAGUACUUGAUGUAAUUUUCAGGUUUUAAAUUUUUUCUUGUUUUUUGCUACAGAUGUCUUUGCAUCUUGGUAAUCUGUCAUCUCGCAUUCGUAAAGAUGAAUUGGAACGUGUUUUCCGAAGGUUUGGUAGGUGUACUGUACGGAUAAAAGACAAAUACGGGUUUGUAGUUUAUGAUUACCCUGCAUGUGCUGAAAAAGCUCUGAAAACACUUCGAGGCAAAAGAAUUUGUGGAGAGCCAAUAACCCUAUCGUGGUCAAAUAGGCAGCGUCAAGCCUUGCAGCUAUUUGAUAGAGGUGGUAAAUCAUACAAGGCACCACAAGAAAGGUACUCUGUCAAAGAUAGGGUGGGAUCAAAUGGUAAAUACAAUCACAAUAUGGAAUUCAAGAAAAUAGAUAGUGAAGGUAGAAAGCCUGGUUCUUCUGACCUGGUUGAUGAAGCAAGAAGCUACCCUUCCAACAAUUUGAAUUGUUGUGCUGGGGAAAAAGAUCGUGCUGUUUUUGAUGAUUCUCAUGAAGCUAGCGGGAAGAACCAUAUGGAGGAUGAUAGGUGGGGAGAGCAGGUUUUGGAUCCAUCAAACGAAAAUGGUUUAGAAAAUGGAUUGGAGUUUGACCGUUAUGAACCUUAUUACAGUGAUGACAAAAAGGAGCAGAAUGAACUUCAAGAUGCAUCCUAUUUUGGUGGUUCACCCACUAGAACGAAGUCUCCAGAGAAAACAGGCUUUGGACAAAAUGAUCAUCAUAAAAUUUUGGAUCAUCUCAGCAAUUCAAAAUCUCGAAAAACGUGCUAUGCAUGUGGUAAAGUGGGUCAUGAAAUGCGGAAGUGCCCCUCACAGCUGGAGAGACCCAGAACAAGGUCUCAACUGCCGAGUCAAAGUAGUGAUGCUGCUCCAAUGAGGCAUCAGAAAAACGAUAGGGAGCCAUCGACUUCAAGAAAUAAUCGGAGAUUGCUUAGACGUGGAGGUUCUCCCUCAGCACAGCUUACUUCCAGACAUAGGAAACAAAAGUACAGGGAGAACAAUCGAAAUAAGACAGAUUGUGAAAGUCCAGAUAGACACCGUUCAAAGAAAGCAAGGGUUCUGUUGUCGUCUUCAACCCACUCUGAUUGUACUGCAUCCAGAUUGCAGUCACCUUCAAGAUCAAUAAGCUCAUUCUCUGGGUCUGUUUCCCAUUCCAAGUUCAAAUCAGCAUCAUCCAGAAAAAAUUCCCCGUCCGCUCAUUCGUGGUCUUCAACAUCAUACCAUUCUGGAUCUAAACCCUUCAUGUCGAGGUUGACAUCAAGCUCAAACUCUCCUACAUCUUUGGCUUUACCGGUAGCACUCGAUAGAUGUUUUUCUUCGUCACCAAAUAAAAUGCAAACAGAUUACAGGGGAGACGAAAAACUGGUAAAAGGUGUCAGUGGCACCAAAUCUGAAAAUAUUACAGUUACGGAAAAUGAAUCUGCAGCCGCAGCAUUGAGAGAGGAAGGAAUGAAAAAGGAUCUUGCCAUAAGGGAAGACGCACACAAUAUUGCCUUCACCAGUGAUUCAUGCCAACUGCUAGAGUCCUAUAACACGCAGUCAGACAACAGUAAUCACAAUUGGGAUAAUUUGAUGUUGCAAAGUGAGAAAGAGAUGAGGGAAACUCCAAAUGAGUACUGUGUGGUGGAACAUACAUCGGCAAAAGAGCCUGAAAUCUCCGUGAGAUCAAAUGCUGCCCAGUCAACAAGACUGUCCUCUGAGGAAAUGUACACGGUUCUAAAACAUUAUCGACUGGAGCAUCCUGAGGAAGAUAAAAAGGAUCUACCUGCUGAAACGUAUCUAGGGUGUGCUCGUACAUGGCCUUGGGAGAUAAUAUACUAUAGAAAACUGAAGAAGGGUGCAAUUUCAGCCGAGAACUAUGCACGGAGAAUUGCUCAGAAUAAAGAGUUCUGUAUCGUCGAUAAUUACAUUCGUGGCAGUAGUGGAUGGGGAGAAUUGGGUGAAGAUAAUCCUUGAGCAGUUGUUCCGUUGACUAGUACAUUAUAUUCAUCGUUGCACAACAGUUUUGGACCUGAAUGAUCGUCCCUUGCAAAUUUCUUGAGACACGUAACGAAGCCUUGAUCAUAUACUUGCCAUGUAAUUCUAUGGUUAUGUUUUGCUACAUUUAAGAACCCAUCCAUAUCUGCUCAAGAAUAUAGACACACAAUGCUAAAGCUUCCGACUUUCUUACCGCCUUCAAGUGGUGAUGUGUUCUGUAGAAACACAUCUUCCAGAGUAGAAACAGAGGCAUUAUUGAGUUGCUGUUUGGUCUCCAUUUUAAUAUUAAUAUAUUUUUUAUUUCUUCUUUUCAACCACACAUUUUUUAAUAAAAUAAUAGUACACGUACAUUCAAAACUUUUCCUUCUUCUUUAAUCACAUAUUAUCCAAAAAAUUAUUAUUCUAAAAUAUAUUUUUUCCAAAACCUCGAUAAAAUGGAUCCCAAACAAGGGUUGAAUAAUGUAGUAACAUAAGAAUUUUGUGAAUCUUUUUCAUGCUCUCAAAAGACUGAAUAAGUUGUGACUUGUCUGAUUACAGUAGUAGCCGAGUUCUAAGUUACUUAAACUUCAUUUAAAGAAACUUUUUAUCUUUAUAACACUUUCGAAUUUUGAGCUUUGGAGAGCCUUUCCUUGUUAACCCAAUGCUCUCCAAGACAUGUUUCGUUUUUUACGUACUCCUACAACAGAAUACUAAAGAAGAGAACUUGCAACUCUUUGAUUGCUAGAGACCUCCAACAUGUAAUGUCACCCCACUUUAUUCUACUUUUUCUUAUUAUUGAUGUCUCUAUUGUGAUGUUUUCUUUCCUCUGGAAUUUCUUUCCUUUUAAGUCAAAGCAAAUGAAGUUCUCAAAUAACUGAUGCAUCUAUUUUUUUGGACUUUUAGCUCUAGUUGUAGAUUAAUGGUCUUAUAAUGUGAUUACUACUCUACUAAUUUGUUAUUGGCUGCUUUAUUAAUCCAUUUUAUGUUUCUAAUAGUAUGUUAGUCUUUUAGCUUUUCUAAACGGUAUUAAUAAUUAUAUUUUGAAAUUUUUAAUUUUUUAUUAUGUGUAAUUUUCUAUUUUUGUAGUUAUUUGAAAUUCUAUUGGUUUAUGUUGAGCUUUAUACUUCAAAGCAGCCGAGGUUCACCCUUUGCCUCAUGCAAAAACACCUCAAUACCACGUAUACAUGCAUGCACCUAUGUUUCUAAGUACUUGAUGUAAUUUUCAGGUUUUAAAUUUUUUCUUGUUUUUUGCUACAGAUGUCUUUGCAUCUUGGAGAAAAAUAUACAAAACUGCCCCUGUGAUUGCCUUUUGUUUAUUUUUUAUUUUUUGUGAUCAUUAUUGCAACAUAUAUUCCAAGUCAAAAAAAGAAAAAAGAAAAAAAAACAACCGCUUCGUAGUGUGGGGGACCAUCGAAUGACUAUCUACUUGAAAGGUCAUUCUCUUAUCUUAAACUUAGCCUACCAAAUACCUGAUUAGCUCAUCCUUGAGCCUCAUUUUUGGGCCCUUACCCCAUGCACCUCGAUAGCUUAAGAAUAACUAAUCAAUAUGGGGUGAAUUGAUUUUUAAAAACUUUUUCGAAAAAUUGAUUCAAAUUUAAGUUGAGAAUGAACAAGUCAAUCAAACAAAAAAUGCAAAUGUAUGAAAGCGCUAAGUAAAUGGGAAGAGAGUGUAAACAAUAUAAGCAAGAAGCUACCCUUCCAACAAUUUGAAUUGUUGUGCUGGGGAAAAAGAUCGUGCUGUUUUUGAUGAUUCUCAUGAAGCUAGCGGGAAGAACCAUAUGGAGGAUGAUAGGUGGGGAGAGCAGGUUUUGGAUCC
rnacentral:lncRNA from 1 species